GGAAUCCUCCACAAUGGGCGAAAGCCUGAUGGAGCAACGCCGCGUGUGUGAUGAAGGGUUUCGGCUCGUAAAACACUGUUGUAAGAGAAGAAUGACAUUGAGAGUAACUGUUCAAUGUGUGACGGUAUCUUACCAGAAAGGAACGGCUAAAUACGUGCCAG
rnacentral:rRNA from 1 species